rnacentral:rRNA from 1 species
GGCCCUACGGGGCGCAGCAGGCGCGAAAACUYUACAAUGCAGGCAACUGCGAUAGGGGAACAUCGAGUGAUCCUCAUAUUGGGGGUCUGUCCACUCGCCUAAAAAGCGGGUGUUAGCAAGGGCCGGGCAAGACCGGUGCCAGCCGCCGCGGUAAUACCGGCGGCUCGAGUGGUGGCCGAUAUUAUUGAGUCUAAAGGGUCCGUAGCCGGCUUUGCAAGUCUCUCGGGAAAUCCAGCGGCUUAACCGUUGGUCGUCCGGGGGGUACUACAUUGCUUGG